rnacentral:lncRNA from 1 species
AGGCUCAUAAUUGGACAGAAGCCAGACGCAGAGACAUGUUUCAUACAGGAGCUGUCUUCAGAAAGCAUACAAAUCACAUGAAUUAGGCUUGAGAGAAUGAACAACACUGAUCUGAAUCCCUACAAAUGUAGACAGAACAAGCAUAAGUAACCAUCGUGGCGGUGUGGUAGCCGUAUUGAUGUCGUUUGGUUUUUCUGCGGAGAUUUUGUGUUUUCCG